GGGAUUGCCCUAGUAACGGCGAGUGAAGCGGCAACAGCUCAAAUUUGAAAUCUGGCUCUUUCAGAGUCCGAGUUGUAAUUUGCAGAGGGCGCUUUGGCUUUGGCAGCGGUCCAAGUUCCUUGGAACAGGACGUCACAGAGGGUGAGAAUCCCGUACGUGGUCGCUAGCUAUUGCCGUGUAAAGCCCCUUCGACGAGUCGAGUUGUUUGGGAAUGCAGCUCUAAAUGGGAGGUAAAUUUCUUCUAAAGCUAAAUAUUGGCCAGAGACCGAUAGCGCACAAGUAGAGUGAUCGAAAGAUGAAAAGCACUUUGGAAAGAGAGUCAAACAGCACGUGAAAUUGUUGAAAGGGAAGCGCUUGCAGCCAGACUUGCUUGCAGUUGCUCAUCCGGGCUUUUGCCCGGUGCACUCUUCUGCAGGCAGGCCAGCAUCAGUUUGGGCGGUGGGAUAAAGGUCUCUGUCACGUACCUCUCUUCGGGGAGGCCUUAUAGGGGAGGCGACAUACCACCAGCCUGGACUGAGGUCCGCGCAUCUGCUAGGAUGCUGGCGUAAUGGCUGUAAGCGGCCCGUCUUGAAACACGGACCAAGGAGUCUAACAUCUAUGCGAGUGUUUGGGUGUCAAGCCCGAGCGCGUAAUGAAAGUGAACGGAGGUGGGAACCCGCAAGGGCGCACCAUCGACCGAUCCUGAAGUUUACGGAAGGAUUUGAGUAAGAGCAUGGCUGUUGGGACCCGAAAGAUGGUGAACUAUGCUUGAAUAGGGUGAAGCCAGAGGAAACUCUGGUGGAGGCUCGCAGCGGUUCUGACGUGCAAAUCGAUCGUCAAAUUUGGGCAUAGGGGCGAAAGACUAAUC
rnacentral:rRNA from 1 species